CCUUUCUGCGAGGACGAAUGCCAGAAGUUGCAGCUUCAGGAGAGGAGGAAGCAAAAGCUGGAGGCUCACUACUGCAACGAAGUCCACGGCUGCGACUUCGUGGGCCCCCUGGCGGCACUCCUGGGACACUUCGAGGCAGAGUGCUCCUUCCACGCGCUUCCGUGCGAACGGUGCGGCGAGACCGUGCGAAACGCGGAGCUUGCUGGCCAUUACAUUGGCGGCUGCAGCAACGCAUUGUCGUCGGUUACGCUGGUCCAGUCAUCGGGGCAAAGCUGCGCCGUCGUCACUUCCGGUGACAUCACCACAGUUGGGCGAGAACUCAAGUUGGCGACGAAUACAUGCGAGGACGUGAUGUCAGCCCUUCAGAGUCACGUGAACGAACUGUCGGAGGUGGCCAGAAAGCAAUGCUUUCAGCUGCAGGAGUUAAACGCCGCGCUGGCUGCUAGUCUCGGGACACUCAAUGCCAACGUGACACUGGCCGCUCAGAAAUUUCCGGAGACGAUCGGCGAGGCCUCGGAGAUGCAAAAGCGCAUGCUCGCUUGCGAAGCAGGGCAAAGUUGUCCGACUCGAAAAGGUGGGGCAGCUUCUCGUGCCGAAAGUGUUCAUUUGCCAGAGGUGACAGGCACCCUUCGAAACUUGGAACACUUCGCCGGCGAGUCGCUCCGAUCUCUCGAACGCUUACUCCAAGUACAAAUGAAAGAGUCCCAACCGAUCGCUCAGUUGCUCCUUCUCCCUCGAAGAAUAGACGAGCCGAUGGAAGGGUGUGCCAUGUCUAGCUUGCCAAGUUGUACAAAAGUGAACGAAACAGUCUAUCAUAUCGUUUUAUCAAACCUGUUCAACAAUCGAGAAGGUGCCACAUUUCUACGUAGGUUGCAUCGGCGAGACGUGUGGUUUAGCGUCAAUUUCAGCGAAUGUGCGAGUACACGCACGACACAGGCAAGCAUAUACAUCAAUUUCACUUGGAUUUGCAAGAAAGAAAACAUGAUCAACCUUCCGAAAGUCGUUAAUGUAACGAGAGUAAAUCGAUAUUGUUCCUAUACCUUACCGAGCAUCGUAGACGAAGACUGGCAAAAACAAUAUCGUUUGGGCGAACUGAGCGAUCUCUUAAAUGAAGUACGCUGGGUUUUCGAAAUCGUUAUACACGACUAACAGAUGGCACCGAACACGACUCACAGUGAAUCAAUUCUUUUUUUUUUCGGGCUUGCGAGGCCCACAGGCAAGCCACCCUUGCUCUGCCCAUCGUGAAAACAAGGGCGUCUGACUGCCAUGUGUUCUUUACAAGGUGUGAACAAUGUGGCCAAACUUUUUUGUAUAUAUUGUUCGGAAUGGCAGUAAGAGCUUAAACCAUGGUUUCGAAGCCCUGAGAUGAAAAUGUUCCUUCGUUGAGUCCUCCACUACAGCUGCUCGCGGAUGCUGCAACGGCCAUGGCAACGCGCAAGCUUCGUCCAAAGCUGGGGAUGGAUGCGUUACCCACUGUGGCAGUCACGGGCAGUUCAUUGAUUCUUCGAAGAUUGGAAAACAGGAUAAAGGCGAUUGUGCUGCUGCUCAUGUUUCUUUCUCGGUGCAGUGCUGACCUGGUAAAAUAUUAAAGCGACAACAUAUU